rnacentral:misc_RNA from 1 species
UCCGGCUUAUCACCGGCAGUCCCUUUAGAGUGCCCAACUGAAUGAUGGCAACUAAAGGCGAGGGUUGCGCUCGUUGCGGGACUUCACCCAACAUCUCACGACACGAGCUGACGACGGCCAUGCAGCACCUGUGUUCUAGUUCUCUUUCGAGCACGAAUCCAUCUCUGGAAACUUCUAGACAUGUCAAGGGUAGGUAAGGUUUUUCGCGUUGCAUCGAAUUAAACCACAUCAUCCACCGCUUGUGCGGGUCCCCGUCAAUUCCUUUGAGUUUUAAUCUUGCGACCGUACUCCCCAGGCGGGAUGCUUAAAGCGUUAGCUGCGCCACUGACCGGUAAACCGGCCGACGGCUAGCAUCCAUCGUUUACGGCGUGGACUAC